rnacentral:rRNA from 1 species
GACGAACGCUGGCGGCGUGCUUAACACAUGCAAGUCGAACGAAGAGCGACGGAAGCUUGCUUCUAUCAAUCUUAGUGGCGAACGGGUGAGUAACGCGUAAUCAACCUGCCCUUCAGAGGGGGACAACAGUUGGAAACGACUGCUAAUACCGCAUACGAUCUAAUCUCGGCAUCGAGGAUGGAUGAAAGGUGGCCUCUACAUGUAAGCUAUCACUGAAGGAGGGGAUUGCGUCUGAUUAGCUAGUUGGAGGGGUAACGGCCCACCAAGGCGAUGAUCAGUAGCCGGUCUGAGAGGAUGAACGGCCACAUUGGGACUGAGACACGGCCCAGACUCCUACGGGAGGCAGCAGUGGGGAAUCUUCCGCAAUGGACGAAAGUCUGACGGAGCAACGCCGCGUGAGUGAUGACGGCCUUCGGGUUGUAAAGCCCUGUUAAUCGGGACGAAAGGCCUUCUUGCGAAUAGGGAGAAGGAUUGACGGUACCGGAAUAGAAAGCCACGGCUAACUACGUG